GGGACAAGCAUCCUGGGCAGAAGCCAUUGAAAUACAAACAGCCAAGAGGCCGGUAGACUUCUCUUUAGAAGCCUGAAAUGGAGACUGAGAUAGAUUAACCAUAGAAGCCUGAAAUCUAGGAAAGAAUGACGUCACAAAGCCCAGGGUAGAGAUUGUUGUGAAGGGAACAUGGUCACCAGAAUUAAAAUGCCACAAAAAAAGCACUGAAAAAAAGUAAUUGUUGACCUUGCUGAGGAGAAUUUCAAUGGAGUAGCUGUGGGAGAAAGCUCAUUACACAGUUCCCAGAAAAUUGGAGCAAGUGUGGAGGACGGGGGCAGUUAGAUUCAUCAUGAAAAAAGAUUUUGUUUUUUGGAUCCCUUUGCAAACAACAGAACAAGGACAUGGAGAAUGCUGGCAAGCAUGAUGGACAACAAAGAAAGAAGUGAAGAUGAAAGGGAAUGAAUAGCAGUCCUAUAAGGGGAGGGAGGAGAACCUGGAC
rnacentral:lncRNA from 1 species